AGUGAACGCUGGCGGUAGGCCUAACACAUGCAAGUCGAACGGCAGCACAGUAAGAGCUUGCUCUUACGGGUGGCGAGUGGCGGACGGGUGAGGAAUACAUCGGAAUCUACUUUUUCGUGGGGGAUAACGUAGGUAAACUUACUCUAAUACCGCAUACGACCUACGGGUGAAAGCAGGGGAUCUUCGGACCUUGCGCGAAUGAAUGAGCCGAUGUCGGUUUAGCUAGUUGGCUGGGUAAAGGCCCAGCAAGGCGACGAUCCGUAGCUGGUCUGAGAGGAUGGUAGGCCACACUGGAACUGAGACACGGUCCAGACUCCUACGGGAGGCAGCAGUGGGGAAUAUUGGACAAUGGGCGCAAGCCUGAUCCAGCCAUACCGCGUGGGUGAAGAAGGCCUUCGGGUUGUAAAGCCCUUUUGUUGGGAAAGAAAAGCAGCAGGUUAAUACCCCGCUGUUCUGACGGUACCCAAAGAAUAAGCACCGGCUAACUUCGUG
rnacentral:rRNA from 1 species